UACGUAGGGUCCGAGCGUUGUCCGGAGUUACUGGGCGUAAAGCGCGCGCAGGCGGCGACGCCAGCCCGGCGUGAAAGCCCCCGGCUCAACCGGGGAGGGUCGUCGGGGACGACGUCGCUUGAGGACGGCAGGGGCCGGUGGAAUGCCCGGUGUAGUGGUGAAAUGCGUAGAGAUCGGGCAGAACACCCGUGGCGAAGGCGGCCGGCUGGGCCGAUCCUGACGCUGAGGCGCGAAGGCGUGGGGAGCGAACAGG
rnacentral:rRNA from 1 species